CCACUGUUAUUUCCAGCACAACUGAAUAGAAAUGCAUAUGGAGCUUUAUUUGAUUUAUCUCUCUCUCACUUGUCUGUAUUUUUAGGUGGAAUGGCAGUACUAUGGUCUCAGAACUGUUUUGAAUUGUCCUGAAUGAGGACAGAGCAAAAGGAAUGUUCUCUUCGGUUGCAGAAAAGAAGUCAAAGUUUGUGGUAUCCUCUUGUUGGUGUGCCCGCUUCCUCUGGAUGGGAAGACAUAAUCAAGUGACAUCUGCAUGAAGACUAGCAGUUCUCACUCAGAGGAUUCUGUUGGUGCCUUAUCCUUCCUGGAUGACAUAAAGAUUCUACAGUGAACACUAAGAACUUCAAGCAGGUAAGUGAUUCUGAGAACAUGUGUCAGCCAGUGAAACUUGGACAAGCAUGUGUAUUUGGAAAGUUGUAGGGGUGGCUGCUGACCUACAAAGGCAAUUAGUCUGACCAACUACGCAGUUCUCAGUGUCUUGGAGGUAAGCUGAGGAGAAGCUUCUACUUGCAAUUUUGCAGGCUUUGUAUACUAACCCACAGCAAAUAGGAAACGUGUGAUGCGUGCUUCCUAUAGUGUCUGUUUGCCUGUAACCUUUGCUUUUUUGUAAAUCUUUGUUAUGCAUAAUUUUUGCACUGUUAAAGUUCCCUCUUUCUUGAAAAAAAUACAUUUGUUAUUUAUUCGAAACAAUUCUGUGUUAAUUUUUCUGAGGCUGUAGGCUCAGUGUCCCAGGGCAAGAAUGACAGGAAAGCUAAGCAAAAUUGUAACAGCAUAAAUCUGUGAUACAUUUAUUGAAGGCUAGGACAAAAAAAAAAAAAAAAAAAAAAAAAGAAAACUUUUCCCUUUAAUUUGACUUCCCAAACUGACUGAUGGCUGAGAGUACAGUUUGUACUGAGUAUGCUUUCUGAAAGGAAAGAUGUGCUGGAUGCACCCAAUGAUUUGACAGAAACAGUAGCAGUUCCUGUGGCUUCAGUAAAAGGAGGUGAUAAGUAGGGUCUUCCAUAGAAAAGGUGUAUCUUAAACUGUGUGAGGAAUGACCACAAUAAAAAAUUGCUUUUAUGUUUAUAAUCUGAUCA
rnacentral:lncRNA from 1 species